UGAGGAAUAUUGGUCAAUUGACGCAAGUCUGAACCAGCCCAGUAGCGUGCAGGAUGACGGCCCUAUGGGUUGUAAACUGCUUUUAUAUGGGGAUAAAGUGGGGAACGUGUUCCCUUUUGCAGUUACCAUAUGAAUAAGGACCGGCUAAUUCCGUUCCAGCAGCCGCGGUAAUACGGAAGGUUCGGGCGUUAUCCGGAUUUAUUGGGUUUAAAGGGAGCGUAGGCCGUUUGGUAAGCGUGUUGUGAAAUGUAGGAGCUCAACUUCUAGAUUGCAGCGCGAACUGUCAGACUUGAGUGCGCACAACGUAGGCGGAAUUCAUGGUGUAGCGGUGAAAUGCUUAGAUAUCAUGAAGAAAUCCGAUUGCGAAGGCAGCUUACGGGAGCGCAACUGACGCUGAAGCUCGAAGGUGGGGGUAUCGAACAGG
rnacentral:rRNA from 1 species